UGAACGCUAGCUACAGGCUUAACACAUGCAAGUCGAGGGGAAACGACAUCGAAAGCUUGCUUUUGAUGGGCGUCGACCGGCGCACGGGUGAGUAACGCGUAUCCAACCUGCCCAUCACUUGGGGAUAACCUUGCGAAAGUAAGACUAAUACCCAAUGACGUCCAUAGAAGACAUCUGAAAUGGAUUAAAGAUUUAUCGGUGAUGGAUGGGGAUGCGUCUGAUUAGCUUGUUGGCGGGGUAACGGCCCACCAAGGCGACGAUCAGUAGGGGUUCUGAGAGGAAGGUCCCCCACAUUGGAACUGAGACACGGUCCAAACUCCUACGGGAGGCAGCAGUGAGGAAUAUUGGUCAAUGGGCGAGAGCCUGAACCAGCCAAGUAGCGUGCAGGAUGACGGCCCUAUGGGUUGUAAACUGCUUUUAUAAGGGAAUAAAGUGAGUCUCGUGAGACUUUUUGCAUGUACCUUAUGAAUAAGGACCGGCUAAUUCCGUGCCAGCAGCCGCGGUAAUACGGAAGGUCCGGGCGUUAUCCGGAUUUAUUGGGUUUAAAGGGAGCGUAGGCCGGAGAUUAAGCGUGUUGUGAAAUGUAGACGCUCAACGUCUGCACUGCAGCGCGAACUGGUUUCCUUGAGUACGCACAAAGUGGGCGGAAUUCGUGGUGUAGCGGUGAAAUGCUUAGAUAUCACGAAGAACUCCGAUUGCGAAGGCAGCUCACUGGAGCGCAACUGACGCUGAAGCUCGAGAGUGCGGGUAUCGAACAGGAUUAGAUACCCUGGUAGUCCGCACGGUAAACGAUGGAUGCCCGCUGUUGGUCUGAAUAGGUCAGCGGCCAAGCGAAAGCAUUAAGCAUCCCACCUGGGGAGUACGCCGGCAACGGUGCAACUCAAAGGAAUUGACGG
rnacentral:rRNA from 1 species